rnacentral:rRNA from 1 species
AGUGAACGCUGGCGGUAGGCCUAACACAUGCAAGUCGAACGGCAGCACAGUAAGAUCUUGCUCUUACGGGUGGCGAGUGGCGGACGGGUGAGGAAUACAUCGGAAUCUACUUUUUCGUGGGGGAUAACGUAGGGAAACUUACGCUAAUACCGCAUACGACCUACGGGUGAAAGCAGGGGAUCUUCGGACCUUGCGCGUUUCAAUGAGCCGAUGUCGGAUUAGCUAGUUGGCGGGGUAAAGGCCCACCAAGGCGACGAUCCGUAGCUGGUCUGAGAGGAUGAUCGGCCACACUGGAACUGAGACACGGUCCAGACUCCUACGGGAGGCAGCAGUGGGGAAUAUUGGGCAAUGGGCGCAAGCCUGACCCAGCCAUACCGCGUGGGUGAAGAAGGCCUUCGGGUUGUAAAGCCCUUUUAUUGGGGAAGAAAAGCAGUGGGAUAAUACCCCGCUGUUCUGACGGUACCCAAAGAAUAAGCACCGGCUAACUACGUG